UCUCCCUUAUAAAUGUUAAUUAUAUGGUAAAGUAUCACUAUGUCAAAGAACAUGUCUUUUAAAAGUCAUGUCUAUUUAAAAUAAAUAGUGAGUUAUCUCCCUUAUAAAUGUUAAUUAUAUGGUAAAGUAUCACUAUGUCAAAGAACAUGUCUUUUAAAAGCCAUGUCUAUUUAACAUAAAUAGUGAGUUAUCUCCCUUAUAAAUGUUAAUUAUAUGGUAAAGUAUCACUAUGUCAAAGAACACGUCUUUUAAAAGUCAUGUCUAUUCAACAUAAAUAGUGAGUUAUCUCCCUUAUAAAUGUUAAUUAUAUGGUAAAGUAUCACUAUGUCAAAGAACAUGUCUUUUAAAAGUCAUGUCUAUUCAACAUAAAUAGUGAGUUAUCUCCCUUAUAAAUGUUAAUUAUAUGGUAAAGUAUCACUAAGUCAAAGAACAAUGAGUUAUCUCCUUUAAAAUGAUAAAUACUGCAUCAAGUUUGAUACAAUAUUUCUCCAUUUGAGACAGAUAAAUUUUCAAAUUUAAAACCCAAAGGCUUGCCUAGCAGUUUAAAAAUUUAAAAUUGAACUGUCAAGAGUGGAGAAAUAUUAAAUUGCACUAGAUGGUGGUAGAAUCUGUUUCUUUAUUGAUUGAUGAUAUGCAGACAAACUUAAUCCUUCUUUUGCAUCUGUAAAAGAUGUGUUCUUUCUAUGUAACGUCAUCAGCCACAGUUGCCUUUUUUCAUGACGUCACAAUAGAAAAUUAAGAGGAAAGCACGAAAAUUUGACGUCAUAAUUGAAUUUUGACCAAUAGAGAACUGAUAUCAACCGAAUCGCACCUUGAUUAUAAUAAAAAUAAUCAAUAGGUCAGGAAAAUGAUAAAUAUGGCAAGAAUUAGAGAAAUAUGGUUAAAGCAUGACUAAGUCAAAGAACGUUGAGUUAUCUCCCUUGUAAAUUACAGUGAAGAACAAUGAGUUAUCUUCCGUCUUUGACAAAUGAUUUAAAAAGCAUGAAUUAUGAGAGCAAAAAUAUUGAGUUAUCUUUCUUCCUUGAUAAUAAUUGAGCAAGUCACAAACACGCAAAAGAUGAGUAAGCUCUUUUUUUUACAAAGCAGUAAUUUGUUUCAAACUCAGAUUGUUUCAAUUUAUAUUAUAAUCCUGUGUAUCAUUUAUACUAUAUUAUUUUGUAUCAUUUGUACUAUAUCAUUUUGAAUCAUUUAUAUUUAUCAUUUUGUAUCAUUUUGUAUCAUUUGUAUCAUUUUGUAUCAUUUGUACUAUAUUAUUUUGUAUUAUUUGGUAUCAUUUGUACUAUAUCAUUUUGUAUCAUUUGGUAUUAAAUUAGAUUGAACAUUUCUUUCAAAAUUAACAUUGAUGAGAAAGUAGGCAAAAUAUUUGCCUGUUAAAAGGAGAACUUCUCAUAAAAAGGUCCUAUUGUUUAAAGACAUGACAAGAAGGUAAAGCAAUGCUUAAGAUUUUGGGGUUUAUUUAUCAAAAAUAUAAGGAGAAAAAAUACUUGAGGUGUGAAGAAACUGCAGUUUAAUUAACACCAAUUUUACUUGUAAGAAUUUUUGUGAAAAGAGCUUCUGUUUUUUAUAGCCCUAUUAGGUUCCAAAUGUAUAGAAAUUAGAUCCCUAGGGUACAGCUAGUGUAUAGAAAUUAGAUCCCUAGGGUACAGUCAGUGUAUAGACAUUAGAUCCCUAGGGUACAGUCAGUGCAUAGAAAUUAGAUCCCUAGGGUACAGUCAGUGUAUAGAAAUAAGAUCCCUAAGGUACAGUCAGUGUAUAGAAAUUAGAUCCCUAAGGUACAGUCAGUGUAUAGAAAUUAGAUCCCAAGGGUACAGUCAGUGUAUAGCAAUGAGAUCCCAAGGGUACAGUCAGUGUAUAGAAAUUAGAUCCCAAGGGUACAGUCAGUGUAUAGCAAUUAGAUCCCUAAGGUACAGUCAGUGUAUAGAAAUUAGAUCCCUAAGGUACAGUCAGUGUAUAGAAAUUAGAUCCCAAGGGUACAGUCAGUGUAUAGCAAUUAGAUCCCAAGGGUACAGUCAGUGUAUAGCAAUUAGAUCCCAAGGGUACAGUCAGUGUAUAGAAAUUAGAUCCCAAGGGUACAGUCAGUGUAUAGAAAUUAGAUCCCUAAGGUACAGUCAGUAUAUAGCAAUUUGGAUCUCUAAGGUACAGUCAGUGUAUAGCAAUUAGAUCCCAAGGGUACAGUCAGUGUAUAGAAAUUAGAUCCCUAAGGUACAGUCAGUAUAUAGCAAUUUGGAUCUCUAAGGUACAGUCAGUGUAUAGCCAUUUGGAUCUCUAAGGUACAGUCAGUGUAUAGCCAUUUGGAUCUCUAAGGUACAGUCAGUGUAUAGCCAUUUGGAUCCCUAGGGUACAGUCAGUGUAUAGCCAUUUGGAUCUCUAAGGUACCAAAGUGCAUAGAAAACGGAUCCUUUGGGUAUCAGAGUGUAUAGUAUGAUUUUUAUUCAAUAACUUGAUAAUCUGUGUAAAGGACAUUCUCAAUGAAAUGAUUUUUACAUUCAUGUGUAAUGAAGACACAAUUCACAGACAAUAUCUUUGGUACAGUAGUGAAAAAUGUCAAUCAUUGAUGGUUUAUUUUAUGUGAAACCUAUUGGAGUAAUCAUGAUCAAUUGUUAAUCAAAUUUGUAUUUUAAUUGUAUGUAAUAUUAUACAUAUUCUGUGUAAAGAGCACAUUUGUAAUAUCAUUGUAACUAUGUAUGCACAUUAUAUACAAUUAAUCAUGAGUUUCAAUAAAAGUAGUUUAAAAAAAUGAAAA